CCUAUAUCCAUAAGCUGUCACUCUUCAUUCUCCCCUACAUCCAGCUCCUGGCAACUGCUAAUCUGCUUUCUGUCUCUAUGGAUUUGCCUAUUCUGAACAUUUCACAUACAUGGAGUCAUAUGGAAGAAAGGAAAAAAGGAAGAGGAUCUUCUCUGAAACUCAUGACUCAGUUCAUGGCCCGACAGUAACAUGGCCCACCUUCCCUGCCUCUGGAGGUGCCCUCCCCAGUAAAAUCUGGAGCAUCCCAAGAAUCUGUACAAGUUCACAGUCAGCAUUCUUUACCAUCAUGGGAGCAGCUCUCAGGAAACAAGCUGAAUGCUGUUAGGCGGAUUAUAAACACAGUCUCAAGUUGCUCGAGGCAUAUGGCAUACGUCUAAACUGUUAAACAACCUCUUCCUGGUGUUCAUAUGUCAAUCUCCUUCUAGUCUACAUGCCAACCCUUUACUGGACGCUUGACCCUAUCUUUUCAGCCCUUCCAUUCUACUUUCACUGCACGCUUAGGCCAACUUCUGUCUUGAAGUCCCCUAAGUCCCUGGAGAAAGGUGAUCUCUUUAUUUUGGCCUCACACCCACUCCCUUUGGCCUCAGGUUGAAAUUCCUCUCCUAAAAGUCACUUGCACCUGAACCAGGCCCCGCCUUUGCCCCUGGGGAUCCUCAUAAGCACCUUCUCUAGAUUCUGAGGACAGGCCCCUCACUCUGUUUCUGCGACAGGGUUGCCCAUCUCUCUUAAUGGUCUGCCUCUUGCCUGCUCCCCACCCGUCCCCAGCCUGCCUGGCCAGGGGUCAUCAGCCAACCAAGGAUCACAGUGUCCCAAGCCACAGCUCUCGUCUCCUACCACCAGUUUGUAACUGGGACACAUUCAAAUAGAACAGCAACACAAGGGUGUUUUAUUUGAAAUCUGUUGCCUUGGGUGAGCUCUACCAGGCCCCCACACCUCAAAUCCUCCUAGAUCCUAGAAGAAAGAAGCUGUUUUCACUUUGUAAAGCACACAGCUGCCACUCUGCCAUGAGGCCCCCAGCUUACUACAGGUGAGAACGUGGCAGGUAUUUUCCUGAGAAACAGUAGCCGGGAUGGAAAAGUCCUUGGGGAAGUGUGGGGCGUGUGUGUAGGGGUGGCCGGUGCUGAGUGGUGACUCCAUACCUUCUGCAAAUGAUGGAAGAACAGGAAAAUCCUGAUUACAGUGAUAGAAACAUCAUUCUAGGGAUAUCAAACGUUGGCCUCAAAGAAACCGCUAAAAGCAGUCAGCGAUCUUAAGCCAUUUGAGUCCUUUAUUUUACAACGCGGUGUAAAUCGAGGAAUAUCAGUGCAUCCUACUAGUUGCAGCAAAUGGCAGUCAAGAGUCUUGUCUUCUGCUGCCACCUUGUGUUUAAGAAAAAAAGUCUCAGUUCAUAGAAUUGCUCUGACAUUGCGAAACCAGCAUUUUAGAGCUGGAAGAGGUUUUAGAAAUUCUCUAGUCCAACUCCCUAUAAUUCACAGAUAGGGAAACCGAGACCCAGACUGGAACCAAGAGCCCCUUGCUCAUUCCCCUGAGCCACACCACUUCUCUGGACAAUGACACUCACAGCAUAAGGGCUCGGGUCAAGUCCUCAACAACUUAGGCCAUUGAUGUACGUGGCAGCAAAAACCAGCCCGUCCAAAUCUGUACGUGUCUCAUCCAGGAAGAACAUUUCCAAGGAACUGCAGUUGUGUGUGACGGGGCCAAGUAAGCGAUCAUGAGAGCUACCAUUUACAGAGCACUCGCUACGGAUCAGGUACUGUGUUAAGUACUGUCUAUUGUCUCACUGAAUUCUUCCAGUCACCUGUGAGGUAACAACGAUUAUUAUCUCCGUCUUACACUUAAGGAAACUGAGGCUUAGAGUGGUUAAGUAACUGCCCAAAGUCACACAGCCACACCAGGUAGAGAGAGAAUUCCAACUCAGGUCUGUACAGUACAAAGUCUGCUCUUAACUCUGUCAUUACUCAACACAUUGACUUUACCCCAUCUAGCUUCACUUCACAAGGUUCAAGCUAGGAGACAUCCCUCAAGCGCCCAUUCACUCACUGCCUCUCUGUGUGCACAUCCUGUGAUGGUCCUUCCUUUUGCUCUCCUGUACUGUGGUCCUCAGACCAGCAGCUUCAUCAUCACCGACAAACUAGUUAGAAAUGCAAACUCUCCCCUAGCACACCAGCCCUACUGACUCAGGAGCUCCAGGGCUUGGGUUUGCCUAUCUGAGCUUUAACAAGCCCUCAGGGGACUUUGAUGCUGCCCAAGUUUGUGAUCUACAGCUAUAGAACAUCCAGGUACGCCAACAAUGGUGUGAAGUUGAAGAAAGAAUGGAUACAGUAAUUUAGGUAUCUGCCUAAACACAAAAAACAGAGAGAACAGAUUUGAUUUAGGAGAAGCCAAACUCCAAUCUUAUUUAGCCAGAGGGAAAAGGCUCCUGGAAUUUUUGCAGUUUCUUCUAAAUCCCUCUUGACUCCUUACCUUAUGGCCUUGAGAGACAAGGGUCUGCCACCCACCAAAAGACAUAGAAAAGGAAGAGCUGCCUCAGAGCACAGGUGGAACCAAUAGAAGAGGAGAAAAACCGCCCUGCCUCCCCCACCUCACGCUGACAUUCGGCACUGCCAUCAUAAUGUGGGGGGGACCCUGGCUAAGUGCUAUAUCAGUAAAGUUCCUGGCCUUUUGCUCAGUGUCCUAAAAUUCUCAAACCACUUUUUAAUAACAUAUUUUUUUGAUGAUAAAAGUAAUCUAUGUUAAUAGUCUGAAAACUUUAGAAAAAUAAGAAAACUAUAAAGAAAGUUAAAAACCACUCAUUCCUCUAUUCCUCAGGGAUAACAUUAUUAACUAUUUCGUAUAUUUCCUUCUAGCUUUCUUCUAUGCAGAGAUAAGCAUUUUUAUGGCACAUUUAAGUUGAUUUCAACAUUUUGUGCUAUAAAAUAAUACUGAUGAGAUCUUCAUAUAUAAAUCUUUGCCUGAAUAUUUUAUGAUAGAGUUCUAGAAAGGGAAUUAUAGGGUUAAAGGUUACAACUUUUAUUGAGGCUUUUGUUACUGGCAAACUGAGUUCAGAGAGCAUGUGCCAUUUUACAGUCCCCUCAAUAGCACAGGAAAGUGCCCAUUUUAACUCUUCCUCCUCAACUUUGGAAGUGUUCAGAAUUUCUCAACUUUGCUGACAGUAAUCUGAAUUUUGGCAAUAUUCCAGGAUUUGGAAGAUGAGAACAACAUGUAUCUUAUUAUCGUUUUCUAUCUGAGAAUUCCAGACCGAGGGCAACCUAAAUCAUCGGAUAAGAACAAGUUCACUUUGGAAUAUAUUAAACUCUAUAUGGAAAAAAUUAGAAAAAUGUCUAAAAAUUCCCAGUGGAGUAUUUAAAGAGCCUAAGAAGUACCUGCUAAUUAUCCUUACUAACCUGUUUACAUAAAAAUAACUUUUUAAAUGCUUUAAAUCAGGAUUCAAAAACUUAAAUGUUCUCAGGAGUCUGGCAGGUAAAUAAAUUAAUAAAACAGACUGGAGAAAUAAAAUAGGCAGCAGUUCACAGUAAAUGUAGAUUGUAUACCAGAGGAAAGGAAUUCAAAUUCAUAUUUAAAAAGUAAUCUACAUACACUUGUAAUGAGCAAUCUGAAAAUGAAGUUUAAAAAUAAUUCCAUUUAUAAUGGCAUAAAAAGAAGAAAAUACUUAAGAAUAAAAUUAACAAAAUAAAUGCAAAACAUAUACUCUGAAGCUACAAAACACUAUCAAAAGAAAUUAAAGAAGGCCCAAUUAAAUGGAAGGACAUCCCAUGUUCAUGGACUGGGAAACUUAAUAUUGUGAAGAUGGCAAUAUUCCCCAAAUUGAUCUACAGAUUCAAUGCAAUCCCUAUCAAAAUCCCGUUUGGCUUCUUUGCAGAAACUGACAAGCUAAUUCUAAAAUUCAUAUGUAAAUAGUUUUGAAAAAGAAGAACAAAGUUGGAGGACUAACACUUUUCAAUUAAAAACCUGCCAGAAAGUCAUCCAGACAGUAUGGUACUGGCAGGAGGACUGAAAUAAAUAGAAUGGAAUAGAAUUGAGAGUCCAAAAGUAAACCUUCAUAUUUAUGUCCAAUUGAUUUUUGACAUGGGCACCGAGAUAGUUAAAUCGGGAAAAGAACAAUCAUUUCAACAAACAGUGCUGGGACAACUGGAUAUCCACAGGUAGAAGAGGAAGUUAGACACUUACCUCAUACCAUAUUAAAAAAUUGACUCAAAACAUCAAAGACCUAAAUGUAAGAACUAAAACAGUAAAGGUUUUAGAAGAAAACAUAGGCAUAAAUCUUCAUGAUGCUGAAUUAGACAAUGGUUUCUUGGAUGUGACAGCAAAAGCACAAGUAACAAAAGAAAAAAAAUUGAUAAAUUGGACAUUACCAAAAUCUAAAGCUUUUCUGUUUCCAAUGACACCAUCAAGAAAGUACAAAGACAACCCUCAGAAUGGGUAAGUCAUAUAUCUGAUAAGGGGCUUGCAUCCAGAAUAUGUAAAGAACUCUUAGAACUCAACAAGAAAAAGAUAACCCAGUUUUCUAAAUGGGCAAAGGACUUGUACAGACAUUUCUCUAAAGAAGAUAUACAAAUGGCCAAUAAGCACGUGAAAAGAUGCAUAACAUCAUUAACCAUUGGGGAAAUGCAAAUCAAAACCGCAAUGACAUAUAACUUUACACCUAGUAGGAUUGCUAUAAUCCAAAGGAUUGGAUUGGUGAGGAUGUGGAGAAAUUGGAGCCCACAUACCCUGUUGGUGGGAAUGUGAAACGGUGCAGCUGCUUUAGAAAACAGUUUUGGUAACCUAACGUAAGGUUCGUUUUUGUAUGUGUUGCUCAUACUUGGUCACGUCAAUUUAUCUGGAGGCACGUUUGGAUUUAUCUUCAUGAUGUUAUUCAGAUCUACAUCCUUCUUUUUUUUUUUGCAUGAGGAAGAUUGUCGCUGAGCUAACAUCUGUUGCCAAUCUUCCUCUUUUUGCUUGAGGAAGAUUGUCACUGAGCUAACAUCUGUGCCCAUCUGCCUCUAUUUUAUGUGGGAUGCUGCCACAGCAUGGCUUGACAAGUGGUACUACAUUUCCACCCAGGAUCUGAACCUGUGAACCCUGGGCCGAUGAAGCAGAGUGUGUGAACUUAACCACUACGCCACCAGGCCGGCCCCAUUCCACAUCCUUCUUAGUUUUUCUCUGUUGGAUCAGAUAUGGACUAACAGAGGUGACUAAAAUCUUCUCCUUUUAUUCUUUCUCCUUUUUUAUUUUUUCUCCUUUCUCCUUUUAUUCUUUAUGAUUGCAUAAAGUUAUAUGAAAACUCUAUUGUCAUUGUAAAUUGCAACUUUUUCAUUACUCAUUUAUCUCUUCGUCUCAUUUAAGAUUCAAGUUCAGUCUUGUUUGACAUUAAUAAUGUGGAUCUAGGUUUCUCUUGUUAGUAUUUACCUUUUUAUACCUUUUUCUAAUCUUCUGGGUAUUGGGGAGAUAGCCAAAUAUACAAAUAUGUAAUUAAAUUAUCUUUACAUAAAAGGGAAGAGUGGGAGGGGGAGUAAAGGGGAGUACUGUAAGAGAGCUAAAUUUUCAUCUUCUACAAUAGAAAGUCAAUAAUUAGUACCUACACCUAAAAAAAUCAAGAAAAAAGCCAUAUAGGCAUGUUAUUAAAAAUAUGGUUGCAAAUAUAAAAGGAAAUGGUUGAGUGAAUCGAGAAUUCCUUACGGAAUCGAGAAUGAGGUAGGAUGGAAUCGGGGGAGGAGAGGGUACUAGUACCUGUAGUACGUUGUUUUAGGAUACUGUAUUCUACGUGCCCCUCCCUGCUCUCUGGGUCCACUGCAAAGAUUAUUCAUAAUAUUCAUACAUGCCGUUUAUUGAGAAGCUCCUAUGUAACAGGCUAAGUAUUAUCUGUAUAUAAAGUGGGAGUAAAGCCAAGCCCUGGGAAAGUGCUGUAGUGUUGAGUCCUAGAGUCAAAACAGGAGUGGACAUCUCAAAAGAUCCGGAAAAAAGUAUUUGAUCAAAUUCAACACCCAUUCAUGGUUUCAAACAAAAUCUUAGGAAACUAGGAAUGGAAGGGAACUUCCUUAAAUCUCCUUUAAUCUUCUCAAGAACCUUAGUAAGGUAGGUACUAUUAUUAUUGCCAUUUAUCAGAUAAGGAAUCUUAAGUUCACAGGGCUUGUAAGUGGCCACACUCUGCCUGACUCCAUGACAUGAGGACUUUCUACCCCCAGGUUCACGGUAGAGGGACACAGGUACACAAAGUAGUUCUUAGAAUGGAAAGAAGAAAAUGCAAAGCUAUACUCUUCAGACAUUCUCUUAUGUCCACAAGAGGGCACUCGGGCUCAUUCAAAUUCCAGUCCAAUGUCGAAAGAAUGAAGUAAUUGUAUAGUAUCAAACUGUUUAAAUAUUAAUAAAUUUGAAGGCCCAUGAGUGUGUAUUUUCCGGGGUUCAUCUGCGACGUGGGUCAG
ensembl:lncRNA